UACGUAGGUCGCAAGCGUUGUCCGGAUUUACUGGGCGUAAAGAGCGCGCAGGCGGCUGGUCAAGUCCGAUGUGAAAUCUCCCGGCUCAACUGGGAAACUGCAUCGGAAACUGAUCGGCUUGAAGGUGGGAGAGGGUAGUGGAAUUCCCGGUGUAGUGGUGAAAUGCGUAGAUAUCUGGAGGAACACCGGUGGCGAAGGCGACAUCCUGGACCGGUAUUGACGCUGAGGCGCGAAAGCCAGGGGAGCAAACGGG
rnacentral:rRNA from 1 species